rnacentral:misc_RNA from 1 species
UUAAGUUCAGCGGGUAAUCCUACCUGAUUUGAGGUCUAAUUGAAAAAUGACUACAAAGGUUUGAAGCUUCUACUUUUCAUUUUCGGCCACCUUUUACAGUGUCCUCAGCGAAUAGUCUAUUACGCUGAGUCAAUCCGAUUACGAAAUUGAAAUGCUAAUGUAUUACGAAUGAGCUGAAAGUAUUCAGCAACACUCAAAAU